rnacentral:rRNA from 1 species
CUUGCUUCUCUGAUGUUAGCGGCGGACGGGUGAGUAACACGUGGAUAACCUACCUAUAAGACUGGGAUAACUUCGGGAAACCGGAGCUAAUACCGGAUAAUAUUUUGAACCGCAUGGUUCAAAAGURAAAGACGGUCUUGCUGUCACUUAUAGAUGGAUCCGCGCUGCAUUAGCUAGUUGGUAAGGUAACGGCUUACCAAGGCAACGAUGCAUAGCCGACCUGAGAGGGUGAUCGGCCACACUGGAACUGAGACACGGUCCAGACUCCUACGGGAGGCAGCAGUAGGGAAUCUUCCGCAAUGGGCGAAAGCCUGACGGAGCAACGCCGCGUGAGUGAUGAAGGUCUUCGGAUCGUAAAACUCUGUUAUUAGGGAAGAACAUAUGUGUAAGUAACUGUGCACAUCUUGACGGUACCUAAUCAGAAAGCCACGGCUAACUACGUGCCAGCAGCCGCGGUAAUACGUAGGUGGCAAGCGUUAUCCGGAAUUAUUGGGCGUAAAGCGCGCGUAGGCGGUUUUUUAAGUCUGAUGUGAAAGCCCACGGCUCAACCGUGGAGGGUCAUUGGAAACUGGAAAACUUGAGUGCAGAAGAGGAAAGUGGAAUUCCAUGUGUAGCGGUGAAAUGCGCAGAGAUAUGGAGGAACACCAGUGGCGAAGGCGACUUUCUGGUCUGUAACUGACGCUGAUGUGCGAAAGCGUGGGGAUCAAACAGGAUUAGAUACCCUGGUAGUCCACGCCGUAAACRAUGAGUGCUAAGUGUUAGGGGGUUUCCGCCCCUUAGUGCUGCAGCUAACGCAUUAAGCACUCCGCCUGGGGAGUACGACCGCAAGGUUGAAACUCAAAGGAAUUGACGGGGACCCGCACAAGCGGUGGAGCAUGUGGUUUAAUUCGAAGCAACGCGAAGAACCUUACCAAAUCUUGACAUCCUUUGACAACUCUAGAGAUAGAGCYUUCCYCUUCGGGGGACAAAGUGACAGGUGGUGCAUGGUUGUCGUCAGCUCGUGUCGUGAGAUSUUGGGUUAAGUCCCGCAACGAGCGCAACCCUUAAGCUUAGUUGCCAUCAUUAAGUUGGGCACUCUAAGUUGACUGCCGGUGACAAACCGGAGGAAGGUGGGGAUGACGUCAAAUCAUCAUGCCCCUUAUGAUUUGGGCUACACACGUGCUACAAUGGACAAUACAAAGGGCAGCGAAACCGYGAGGUCAAGCAAAUCCCAUAAAGUUGUUCUCAGUUCGGAUUGUAGUCUGCAACUCGACUACAUGAAGCUGGAAUCGCUAGUAAUCGUAGAUCAGCAUGCUACGGUGAAUACGUUCCCGGGUCUUGUACACACCGCCCGUCACACCACGAGAGUUUGUAACACCCGAAGCCGGUGGAGUAACCUUUUAGGAGCUAGCCGUCGAAGGUGGGACAAAUGAUUGGGGUGAAGUCGUAACAAGGUAGCCGUAUCGGAAGGUGCGGCUGGAUCACCUCCUUUCUAAGGA